CCUACGGGCGGCAGCAGCGGGGAAUAUUGCACAAUGGGCGCAAGCCUGAUGCAGCCAUGCCGCGUGUGUGAAGAAGGCCUUCGGGUUGUAAAGCACUUUCAGCGGGGAGGAAGGCGGUGAGGUUAAUAACCUCAUCGAUUGACGUUACCCGCAGAGGAAGCACCGGCUAACUCCGUGCCAGCAGCCGCGGUAAUACGGAGGGUGCAAGCGUUAAUCGGAAUUACUGGGCGUAAAGCGCACGCAGGCGGUCUGUCAAGUCGGAUGUGAAAUCCCCGGGCUCAACCUGGGAACUGCAUUCGAAACUGGCAGGCUAGAGUCUUGUAGAGGGGGGUAGAAUUCCAGGUGUAGCGGUGAAAUGCGUAGAGAUCUGGAGGAAUACCGGUGGCGAAGGCGGCCCCCUGGACAAAGACUGACGCUCAGGUGCGAAAGCGUGGGGAGCAAACAGGAUUAGAUACCCUAGUAGUC
rnacentral:rRNA from 1 species